GACGAACGCUGGCGGCGUGCUUAACACAUGCAAGUCGAACGGAAAGGCCCUGCUUUUGUGGGGUGCUCGAGUGGCGAACGGGUGAGUAACACGUGAGUAACCUGCCCUUGACUUUGGGAUAACUUCAGGAAACUGGGGCUAAUACCGGAUAGGAGCUCCUGCUGCAGGGUGGGGGUUGGAAAGUUUCGGCGGUUGGGGAUGGACUCGCGGCUUAUCAGCUUGUUGGUGGGGUAGUGGCUUACCAAGGCUUUGACGGGUAGCCGGCCUGAGAGGGUGACCGGCCACAUUGGGACUGCGGUACGGCGCAGACUCCUACGGGAGGCAGCAGUGGGGAAUAUUGCACAAUGGGCGGGAGCCUGAUGCAGCAACGCCGCGUGCGGGAUGACGGCCUUCGGGUUGUAAACCGCUUUCGCCUGUGACGAAGCGUGAGUGACGGUAAUGGGUAAAGAAGCACCGGCUAACUACGUG
rnacentral:rRNA from 1 species